rnacentral:rRNA from 1 species
GACGAACGCUGGCGGCGUGCUUAACACAUGCAAGUCGAACGGAAAGGCCCUGCUUUUGUGGGGUGCUCGAGUGGCGAACGGGUGAGUAACACGUGAGUAACCUGCCCUUGACUUUGGGAUAACUUCAGGAAACUGGGGCUAAUACCCGAUAGGAGCUCCUGCUGCAUGGGGGGGGUUGGAAAGUUUCGGCGGUUGGGGAUGGACUCGCGGCUUAUCAGCUUGUUUGUGGGGUAGUGGCUUACCAAGGCUUUGACGGGUAGCCGGCCUGAGAGGGUGACCGGCCACAUUGGGACUGAGAUACGGCCCAGACUCCUACGGGAGGCAGCAGUGGGGAAUAUUGCACAAUGGGCGGAAGCCUGAUGCAGCAACGCCGCGUGCGGGAUGACGGCCUUCGGGUUGUAAACCGCUUUCGCCUGUGACGAAGCGUGAGUGACGGUAAUGGGUAAAGAAGCACCGGCUAACUACGUG